AACGAACGCUGGCGGCAUGCCUAACACAUGCAAGUCGAACGAAUGGUUUCGGCCAUUAGUGGCGCACGGGUGAGUAACGCGUGGGAAUCUGCCCAGCAGUGGGGGAUAACCUCUGGAAACGGAGGCUAAUACCGCAUACGCCCCUCGGGGGAAAGGCUUGCUGCUGCUGGAGGAGCCCGCGUCGGAUUAGGUAGUUGGUGGGGUAACGGCCUACCAAGCCUGUGAUCCGUAGCUGGUCUGAGAGGAUGAUCAGCCACACUGGGACUGAGACACGGCCCAGACUCCUACGGGAGGCAGCAGUGGGGAAUAUUGGACAAUGGGCGCAAGCCUGAUCCAGCAAUGCCGCGUGAGUGAUGAAGGCCUCGGUUGUAAGCUCUUCGUCCCACGACCGAUGAUGACGGUAGUGGGAGAAGAAG
rnacentral:rRNA from 1 species